rnacentral:tRNA from 1 species
GGGUUGUUAGCUCAAUGGUAGAGCAGCUGACUUUUAAUCAGCGGGUUCUCGGUUCGAGUCCGAGGCGACCCA